rnacentral:rRNA from 1 species
GACGAACGCUGGCGGCGUGCCUAAUACAUGCAAGUAGAACGCACAGUUUAUACCGUAGCUUGCUACACCAUAGACUGUGAGUUGCGAACGGGUGAGUAACGCGUAGGUAACCUGCCUGGCAGCGGGGGAUAACUAUUGGAAACGAUAGCUAAUACCGCAUAAUAUUAAUUAUUGCAUGAUAAUUAAUUGAAAGGUGCAAUUGCACCACUACCAGAUGGACCGCGUUGUAUUAGCUAGUAAGUGAGGUAACGGCUCACCUAGGCGACGAUACAUAGCCGACCUGAGAGGGUGAUCGGCCACACUGGGACUGAGACACGGCCCAGACUCCUACGGGAGGCAGCAGUAGGGAAUCUUCGGCAAUAGACGAAAGGCUGACCGAGCAACGCCGCGUGAGUGAAGAAGGGUUUCGGAUCGUAAAGCUCUGUUGUAAGAGAAGAACGGGUGUGAGAGUGGAAAGUUCACACUGUGACGGUAUCUUACCAGAAAGGGACGGCUAACUACGUG